rnacentral:piRNA from 1 species
UCAACAUUGUCUUGAGGCAUGGAGUG